rnacentral:ncRNA from 1 species
GGUCAAGCUAAUAAGGGCUAACGGUGGAUACCUAGGCACGCAGAGGCGAUGAAGGACGUGGUUACCGACGAUAUGCUCCGGGGAGUUGGAAGCAAACAUUGAGCCGGAGAUUUCCGAAUGGGGCAACCCUGUAUACUACCUGUUGAAUAUAUAGACAGGUAAGAGCCAACCCAGCGAACUGAAACAUCUUAGUAGCUGGAGGAAAAAAAAUCAAUAGAGAUUCCCUAAGUAGUGGUGAGCGAACGGGGAAAAGCCUAAACCAAAAAGUUGACUUUUUGGGGUAGUGGGACAGCAUAAUUCGAAUCCAGAGGUUAGACGAAGCAGCGAAAUACUGCACCAGAGAAGGUGAAAGUCCUGUAAUUGAAAACUGUACGGAUAGUAGCUGUAUCCCGAGUAGCAUGGGGCACGAGAAAUCCCAUGUGAAUCAGCGAGGACCAUCUCGUAAGGCUAAAUACUACUGCGUGACCGAUAGUGAACCAGUACCGCGAGGGAAAGGUGAAAAGAACCCCAAAUGGGGAGUGAAAUAGAACAUGAAACCGUUAGCUUACAAGCAGUGGAAGUCCGAUUCAACGGAUGACCGCGUGCCUGUUGAAGAAUGAGCCGGCGACUUAUAGGCACUGGUAGGUUAAGGCGAAAAAAUGCCGCAGCCACAGGGAAACCGAGUCUGAAAAGGGCGUUAUAUCAGUGUUUAUAGACCCGAACCCUGGUGAUCUAACCAUGUCCAGGAUGAAGCUUGGGUAACACCAAGUGGAGGUCCGCACCGACCGAUGUUGAAAAAUCGGCGGAUGAGGUGUGGUUAGGGGUGAAAUGCCAAUCGAACCAGGAGCUAGCUGGUUCUCCCCGAAAUGUGUUUAGGCGCAGCGGUAAUGAUUAUAGUCUGGGGGUAAAGCACUGUUUCGGUGCGGGCUGGGAGACCGGUACCAAAUCGAGACAAACUCUGAAUACCAGAUGCACACAUUGCCAGACAGACAGUGGGGGAUAAGCUUCAUUGUCAAGAGGGAAACAGCCCAGACCACCAGCUAAGGUCCCCAAAUCAUCGCUAAGUGAUAAAGGAGGUGAGAGUGCACAGACAACUAGGAGGUUUGCCUAGAAGCAGCCACCCUAUAAUGAGUGCGUAAUAGCUCACUAGUCAAGCGCUCUCGCGCCGAAAAUGAACGGGGCUAAGCGAUGUACCGAAGCUGUGGGAUAUGUAAAAAAUAUCGGUAGGGGAGCGUUCCGUAUUAGGUAGAAGCACUAGCGGCGAGCAGGUGUGGACGAAACGGAAGUGAGAAUGUCGGCUUGAGUAGCGCAAAUAUUGGUGAGAAUCCAAUACCCCGAAACCCUAAGGGUUCCAGAGCCAGGUUCGUCCCCUCUGGGUUAGUCAGGUCCUAAGGCGAGGUCGAACGGCGUAGUCGAUGGACAACGGGUGAAUAAUCCCGUACUCAAUUGAAUUUGUGCAGAGGGACGGAGGAGG